UUUUAGAAUAAUGUCUACUUUAAAUGUCUAUAAGAUGAAACAACUAAAAUUGAACUGUCAUUGUUGCUAACUAGAUUAAACUUCUUGUUGUUGCUUAUAGUAUUGAAGUUGAUUGUUGCUAUUGCUAAUAGCUUGCGGCCAUCAUUCUUGUGUUUUAAAGAUUAGCAGUGAAAGUAUUGAAUAUUGAUACUUAAUAUCAAUGUUUUAAAAAUCAGCUCGAACAUCAACUCAGCAAAGGAAGAGGAUGAAAGGUCAAAGGGUUGGAUUGGGAUUGCACCGGAUGUCAAAUUAUAUUAAUAAUAUAAUUAAUUAGUAACACAAAUUAAUUAUAAUUUCUUUUACUUUACUUUUAUCUAAUGAUAGGAUGCAACAACUUGUAAAUAUUAUUUAUAUUUAUUCUACAACACUCUACCUGCUACAGUAUCCCACAUCAGACGAUCUCUCAUACAUUGGUAGAAGAGUCUCAUUUAAGAAGGAGCAUCACUUGAAUAGAAAUGUGAAAUGGGCCUACUAUGUUAAUAGGUCAGCCAAUAAAACAGUUAAAAAAAGUUAUGGAAAAAAAUCAUGUUAAUCAAAAAGAUCGUAUCUGAUUUAUUAAUUCAUGGUUAAAUCGAUCGGGUUAAUGAUUAAUUCACUGAUUUUUUAUUUUCAUUUAAUGUAUGAUGACCAGACCGAAUUUGAUGCUGGUUCACGAAUUUUUUGAUUGAAUCGAACAGUCUGAUCCGAUUUUCAUAACAUUGCUUAAUAUUUUAUUUUGCCAGGUAGUGAUACUAAUAUUUGUGCUUUAACACAUUUGAAAUGUGUUGAUUUUAAUUCGCCUAGUAAACUAUUGUUUGAAACUUAAUUGAACUCCAAAAAUAAUUUUGUUUGGUUUGAUUUUGUCUAGAAAGUGAAAUUGUCAUGUUUUGCAAAAAUUUCAAACCUUUUUAAAUGGUUACAUUAAAAAUUGGCCAAAAAUCGUCCAUAGCGAAUUGUAUUGGCCCCUAAUGAUGUGAUCCAGGAGCCGCAAGCAACCAAAUCAAGUCCAACAUCAAGCCCGGGGAAAGAUCUGUUGAAAGUCGAAGGUGGACCUAUGACACGAGCGAGGACAAAGAGAGUGAAAGAGGCGAUGAGAUUACUCGUCAAGAUAACCAUCGAUGAAAUCAUGUUCAGGACUCAAAAUGGAACAAGUUUCGUGUUCGGGUCGAAGGCCGAAACCAAUUGGAUCAACACGAUACAAGAAGCCGAAGAUAAAGCUGGAGAAAAGAACCAUGCGACCACAUGGUUAAAAUCGUCCUGUAGUCGUACGGAGUGAGGCAGGGAAUUAUUCAAGAUUUUUGAAUGUUCCAUACGGUCGCAUGAUUUUACACCAUGCGACCGCGUGGUUAAAAUUUGACGCGUUUUUUUUUAUUUUUUCGCGAAUUUCCUAUUUUUGAUAGAAUUUGAUACUUAGUAGAUUUCUUACCAUAUUUGAAAUAUUAGGCACGUUUUUACCUAGUUUUUUAGACCUAGUAUAAAUAUUAUUUUUAUUUUCAAUUGUAAGAACCUUUUUGAGAUUAUUCGUAAUUUGAGAGGCUAUAUUGCUUUCAACUCUUGUUCUACAAUUGAACAAUUCAAGAACUUAUCAAGAUUUAAUCUUGUGGCGUUCAAAUCAACCGGUUGAGAUUCCGUAUUUUUGUGUAAUCAAGAGGUCCACACAUCGUCGGUGAUUCGGGUUGCUUGGUUCCAAGUCUAUUGAAUUUAAUCCAAAACCUUGCUUUGGCUUUCUUGGGAAGAUUUCAAUCUUGUUCGUGGGUUCCGUAGCGUUUACCUACGCGGGUUCACAUAACCUAACUUAUAGGGUCAAUUGAGUGAAUCUACAAUUCAGGAAGGGCUGAUGAUCGGGUUUCCAUGCUAGAGGACUCGAUGCGGAGGAUUGAGCAGUUAUGUAUAGAUAUGAGAGAUCGAUGGAUAGACAGGAUGAACGGGGAGAAAGGCAAAAUCCAUUGCCUGCCAAUACCUGAAGAGGUGGUCUUAAUGCACGGAGAUAGGGUAGGCGGGAACCUAGGAUGGAGGAACUUAGUGAAUUUGAGGUUGAUAAUGGAUUGGAUGAGGAUGCGACAAUGGAUGUGGAUAUUGGAAGGGGUAGAAAUAGAGGAGUUAGACCAGAAAGGAGAGGUAAGAAUCUCGGUGGAGAUGAAGUGGAUGGAAACUUGAGUGACAUUAAAAUGAGCAUUCCUUCCUUCAAAGGUAGGAGUGAUCCAAAGGUCUACUUGGACUGGGAAUAGAAAAUUGAGUUAAUCUUUGAUUGCCACAAUUACUCGGGAGAGAAGAAGGUGAAAAUUGCAGUUCUUGAAUUCACGGAUUAUGCAAUCACUUUGUGGGAUCAGGUGGUGACUUUGAGGCAAUGAAGUGGGGAGCGACCUAUCAAUACAUGGGAGGAAUUGAAAACUAUCGUGCGGAAGAGGUUUGUACCUACUCACUACUACCGAGAGUUUCAUCAAAGAUUGCAAAAUUUAUAUCAAGGCUCCAGGAGUGUGGAAGAUUACCAUAAGAAGAUGGAGACACUAAUGAUCAGGGCAAAUGUGGAGGAGGAUAACGAAGCUACCAUGGCUCAAUUUCUACGUGGAUUGAACAGAGACAUUGCAAAUACAGUGGAAUUGCAGUACUAUGUGGAAAUUGAAGACAGGUUACAUGUGGCGACGAAGGUAGAAAGGCAGUUGAAGUGAAAAGGAACAGCAAGGUACCUAUAUGGAUCUUCGAGUUCUAAUCCUUCUUGGAAAUCGAAGUGGGAAAAUAACAAAGGAGAUGAGACUACUGCAAAAGGAAGAGCUGAGGUACCAAGAGGCAAGGAAGAGGGUGCUACCAAGCCUAUACCAAAGAGGGAGUCACAGCCAUCACGAAACAGGGACAUCAAAUGUUUUCAAUGCUUGGGAGUAGGGCACAUUACUUCUCAAUACCCAAACAAGAAGACAAUGAUUCUACAAGACAGUGGGGAAGCGGAAAUUGAAAGUGAAAGUGAAUAGGCAGACAUGUCAGGAUUGGAAGAAGUUGAUGAGGAAGAUACAAUUGAGUAUACAGUUAACAGUAGGUUGUUGGUCACAAGGCGAGCUCUUAGUGCUCAAAUCAAGGCGGAGGACUUGGAGCAGCAGCGAAAAAAUAUAUUCCACACGCAGUGUCACGUUAAUGGCAAGGUAUGUAGUGUAAUAAUUGAUGGCGAUAGUUGUAAUAAUGUAGCUAGCACUAACAUGGUGGAAAGGUUGGGCUUAACACUAUUAAAACAUCCUAGACCUUAUAAGUUACAAUGGCUGAAUGAAUGUGGGGAGGUCAAGAUGACAAAAUGGACGUUGAUUAAUUUUUUCAUUGGUAGAUAUCAGGAUGAGGUAAUGUGUGACGUUGUACCUAUGCAUGCGGGUCAUAUUUUGUUGGGAAGACCAUGGCAGUACAAUAGGAAAGCAAUGCAUGAUGGGUACAAAAAUAAGUACAGCUUUAUAAAAGAUGGGAGGUCUAUCUCUCUUGCGCCAUUAACACCAGCACAAGUAUAUGAGGACAAAGUUUAACUGAAAAAUGAAGAAGAAGCGAGAGUGAAAGAGUUAGAGAAACAGAGAGAAAAAGAGUGAGGUGGUCAAUAGAGAGGAAAAAAUAGUGGGGCCACAUGAGAGAAAAGAAAGAGAGUCUUCCGAGAUGAGAGAAAAGCCGAAACAAAAUUUAUUUGUGAGUGAGAGUGAGUUGAAAAAGGCAAUUGUUGAGAGACAACAAAUGAUAUUAUUGGUUUACAAGGAGCCACUCCUCAACUUUGAAGAGCAUACACAUCCCUCCCUAAUUUGGUUAUUUCUUUAUUGCAAGAAUUUGACAAUGUAUUUCCGGAGGACGUGCCUAGUGGGUUACCACCCAUUAGAGGAAUUGAGCAUCAGAUUGAUUUCAUACCUGGUGUUGUCAUUCUGAACCGACCAACUUGUCGGAGUAGUCCAAAAGAGACAAAGGAGCUUCAGAGGCAAGAUGAGGAAUUGAUAAGCAAGGGAUAUGUAAGGGAAAGAAAUGGGAAUACCUGUGUUGCUGGUGCCAAAGAAAGAUGGGUCUUGGAGAAUGUACGUGAAUUGCAGAGUCAUCAACAACAUCACGGUAAAAUAUCGUUACCCAAUUCCUAGGCUAGAUGAUAUGUUAGAUGAGCCACAUGAUGCAUGUUUGUUUAGUAAAAUUGACCUUAAAAGUGGAUAUCGUCAAAUUCGCAUGAGGGAGGGUGAUGAAUGGAAAACGACUUUUAAAACUAAAUAUGAGUUGUAUGAAUGAUUAGUCGUGCCGUUUGGACUCACAAAUGCACCAAGCACUUUUAUGCAAUUAAUGAAUCAUGUUUUGUGUGCUUUCAUUGGAAAAUUUGUUGUAGUUUAUUUUGACGACAUUUUAAUCUAUAGCAAGAGUCUUGAUGAGCAUGUGGAACAUCUAAAAUGUGUGCUUGUGGUUUUAAGAAAUGAACAAUUUUAUGCCAAUUUUAAAAAGUGUACAUUUUGCAUAGAUAUGGUUGUAUUCUUAGGUUUUGUGGUUAGUGCUAAUGGUGUAGAGAUAGAUGAAGAGAAAAUAAAAGCUAUUAAGAAGUGACCAACACCUAAAAACAUAACCGAGAUUCGAAGUUUUCAUGGAUUGGCUAGUUUUUAUAGGUGUUUUGUUAGAGAUUUUAGCACAACCACCACACCCUUAACUGAAAUUGUCAAGAAAAAUGUAGGAUUUCAUUGGGGGUUAGAGCAAGAACAUGCAUUCGACACUAUCAAAGAUUUUUUUGUGUAAAGCACCAGUUUUAGCACUUCCUAACUUUGACAAAACUUUCGAGAUUGAGUGUGAUGCAUCAGGAAUAGGUAUAGGAGUAGUCUUAAUGCAGGAUAAGAGACCUAUAGCAUACUUUAGUGAAAAGCUAAGUGGUGCAGCUCUCAAUUAUCCUACAUACAACAAGGAACUCCAUUCACUUGUUCGAGCUUUGGAAACAUGACAGCAUUACCUAUAGCCGAAGGAGUUUGUAAUUCAUUUAGAUCAUGAGUCACUGAAACAUUUGAGGGUCAAGGUAAGUUGAACAAACGACAUGCACGCUGGAUGGAAUUCAUCGAAACUUUUCCGUAUGUCAUCCGUUACAAACAAGGUAAGGAAAAUGUAGUAGCAGAUGCAUUGUCGUGCAGAUAUGUGCUUCUAACUAUUUUAAGUGCAAAAUUGCUUGGUUUUGAGUAUAUUAAGGACAUGUAUGUUACUGAUUCUGAUUUUUCCGACAUUUACAAUUCAUGUCACAAGGGGGCUAUAGAUAAGUUUUUUAAGCAUGAGGGAUACUUGCUUCGGGAAAGUAAAUUAUGCGUUCCUAAUUACUCUAUCCGUGAACUAGUGGUUAGGGAAGCACAUAGUGGGGGACUUAUGGGUCACUUUGGGGUAGCAAAGACUUUAGAGAUAUUGACUGAACAUUUCUAUUGGCCUAAAAUGAAAGUUGAAGUAGAAAGGGUUUGUAGUCGAUGCAUAAAAUGUAAACAGACCAAAUCUAGGGUCUUACCUCAUGGACUGUAUACACCUUUGCCAGUACCUAGUGAACCUUGGGUAGAUAUUUCAAUGGACUUUGUGUUAGGUUUGCCCAGGACUAAAAAGGGGAGAGAUUCAAUUUUUGUAGUGGUGGAUAAGUUUAGUAAAAUGGCACAUUUCAUUCCAUGUCACAAAACUGAUGACGUCACCAACAUUGCAGAUUUGUUCUUUAAAGAAAUUGUGCGCUUGCAUAGUGUACCUAAAAGCAUAGUGUCAGAUAGGGAUGUUAAGUUCCUUAGUCACUUUUGGAGAGUCUUGUGAAGUAAGUUAGGUACGAAACUACUAUUUUCUACAACUUGUCAUCUACAAAAAGAUGGCCAAACCGAAGUAGUGAAUAGGACGAUGACACAACUUUUGCACACUGUAGUUAAUAAGAAUUUGAAAAAUUGGGAAGAGUUCUUACUUUUCAUCGAAUUUGCAUAUAAUAGGGCCACACACUCCAUUACGUCAUUUUCUCCUUUUGAAAUUGUUUACGGCUUUAAUCCUAUGACACCCUACGGAUUUAAUACCUUUGCCUGUUAAUGAACGAGGUAGCUUGGAUGGAAAAAGGAAUGCCGAGUUGGCGAAGUCACUCCAUGAAAAGGUGUGAGAGCAAAUUGAGAAGAAAAGCAAGCACUAUGCGGAGCAAGCAAAUAAGAGCAGGAAAAUUGUCACAUUCGAAUCAGGAGAUUGGGUUUAGGUGCACUUCAGAAAAGAGCAGUUCCCAGAGCAAAGAAAGUCAAAGUUGUUACUGUCACAAUCCCAAUUUACUCAUUUAAUUCUAUGUAAAAAGAUUUCAAAAUUUUGUAUACUUUGUGAAGAGAGACAACUUUUGGCAAUUUGUAAAGUAUGGAGUAGCUAAGCAUCAAUAAAUAUAAGAUAAUUAAAAAUUUUCUUAUAUACUUGGUUACAU
rnacentral:lncRNA from 1 species